CCACGGUGUAUAUCUAAGAUUAAAGCUUUAUUUUUAGAGGCCUGUAAUCCUUUCAAGGAGGUUUUGUUGAUAUAAGACUUCAUUGGAAAGUAAUUGUGGAUUGUACAGCUCUGACCUUUACAGAAAGCAGGGUGUGGGUCUGGAUAGCUGAGAAAUACUGUGCAUCAAUUUCUUGUGAAGCCCCUGCAGACCAGCUAAGUAUGCAUACAAGUUCAAGAAUUUAUUUAAAAGGUUACAAUUAGUGGUUCAGUCGUCAAAACUGGGGACGUGGUAUUUUUAUGCUAGGCGAAAUACACUAUUUAAAUAUAUUUUAAAAAUAAAUAAAUAAAAAAGAAUAAGGCCAGGCCUUCUGCACAAAUUGGAGGCAGCUAAAUGCUCUUUUGUGCCUGCAGCUCUAAGAAGGCUGUGAUGCAUGUGAAGGAAAGUGACUGACUUAACUCAUUGGGAUUCAGGGAACGGCCUGCCCUCUUUUGAAAAAAAAAAAAAAAAAAAGAAAGAAAAAAAAGCAAGAAGAAGAAGAAAAGUAAGUGUGUAUGUGUGUGUGGUGUGUGUGCGUAUUCGUGUAUGUGUGUGUGUGACAGAGAGAGAGAGGAAGAGAGGGAGAGGAGGGGGAGAUUCAGAGUCCUGCUUUCCUGAGCUGAGAGCUGCUGGUUCCCAAGCCGAAAGUAUUAGGAGAAACACGGCUUCUUGUGUCUUUGCUGCAUUUGCACAAUGAAAUCACUUCUAUUUUUAUUCUUGCUAACCGGCCGCUUUUGCUUGAAUCCACUCCGAGCCAUGGACGACGGGAACAAAAAAAAAAAAAAACUACUUAAAACCAACUAAACCAAAAAAAUAAAAUAAAAAAAAAAGGAAAAGAAAACCCUAACAAACCCAACCACGCUGGGAUGAGGAUUACUCACUUUAGCGCUGCCUGCGGCCGCACGCAGGAGCUACGGUGCCGAGGGGGCCCGGAGCCGCCUUCCCGGUUUGCCCCCGGAUGCCCCAGCAAGCUACGGGAAAAGUCUCAGGGAAGCCCAGCUCGCCGCAGGAUCCCACCGCCGCCCGCGGCCGCAGCACAUCCCGCCUCGCCUCCUCUCUCUCUCGCGGGCCCUGGCGCCGAGGAAGCAGUCGAGGUCAGCUGUCCGGUUCCUGCGGUCCGGCCGUGCUGGAGCUCGCAGGGUGAUGCGAGGUGCCCGGCUGCUCCGCUCCUCCCGGCGCGCCCUCGGCACCGAAAAGGAAUGAAUGGUCCCGAUCCUGAGCCGUGAAAGAUGGCAAAAAGCGUAAUAAUAAUAAUAAUAUAAUAAAAACUUAGGCUAUUUUUUUUUAAUUAUUGUA
rnacentral:lncRNA from 1 species